rnacentral:rRNA from 1 species
UACGUAGGGGGCAAGCGUUGUCCGGAAUCAUUGGGCGUAAAGCGCGCGUAGGUGGCCCGGUAAGUCCGCUGUGAAAGUCAAAGGCUCAACCUUUGAAAGCCGGUGGAUACUGUCGGGCUAGAGUCCGGAAGAGGCGAGUGGAAUUCCUGGUGUAGCGGUGGAAUGCGCAGAUAUCAGGAGGAACACCGAUAGCGAAGGCAGCUCGCUGGGACGGUACUGACACUGAGGCGCGAAAGCGUGGGGAGCGAACAGG